rnacentral:rRNA from 1 species
GACGAACGCUGGCGGCGUGCUUAACACAUGCAAGUCGAGCGGAAAGGCCUCUUCGGGGGUACUCGAGCGGCGAACGGGUGAGUAACACGUGAGUAAUCUGCCCUGGACUUCGGGAUAGCCACCGGAAACGGUGAUUAAUACCGGAUAUGACAUGUGCCCACAUGGGUGUGUGUGGAAAGUUUUUUCGGUUCAGGAUGUGCUCGCGGCCUAUCAGCUUGAUGGUGAGGUAAUGGCUCACCAUGGCUUCGACGGGUAGCCGGCCUGAGAGGGUGACCGGUCACACUGGGACUGAGACACGGCCCAGACUCCUACGGGAGGCAGCAGUGGGGAAUAUUGGACAAUGGGCGGAAGCCUGAUCCAGCAACGCCGCGUGAGGGAUGACGGCCUUCGGGUUGUAAACCUCUUUCAGUACCGACGAAGCGCAAGUGACGGUAGGUACAGAAGAAGCACCGGCCAACUACGUGCCAGCCGCCGCGGUAACAC